AUGGAUCAUGGGAGUGUGGUCCCUGAGAUUGUGUCAUUUCAUGUAUUGGAAGAAAUGACAGAUAGUUUCUCUGAAUACCGCAAAUUAGGCAGCGGCUCAUAUGGAGAAGUUUAUAUGGGAGAGAGUAAGGAUGGAAAGAAGAUUGCUGUGAAGAUGCUCCAUGACACUAUAGGACUUAACAAUGAUCAAUUUGACACAGAGUGUCUCAAUCUCGCAUCUCUUCGCCACCAUAAUAUUNNNNNNNNNNUGCAACUGGUUGGCUAUUGCCACGAAACCCGGCGAGAAUACGUAAGGUACAAGGGAAAGUUUGUUCAUGCUCAACAGAUAAAGAGGGCGCUUUGCUUGGAGUACAUGUAUAAUGGAAGCCUUGAAACAUUUCUUUCUGACAAAUUGAAAGGAAAUGAUUGGUCCACACGUUAUGCAAUAAUAAAGGGAAUCUGCAAUGGUUUAAAAUACCUUCACGAGGAACUGGAUCCUCCAAUGUCUCACUUGGAUUUAAAACUAGCUAAUAUAUUGCUGAAUGAGAAUAUGGUACCGAAAAUCACAGAUUUCGGCUUGUCAAGGUUCUUUGAUGGUAAAAAAACACAAACGACAAAAAGUAUUAUAGGAACACGUGGAUACCUACCGCCGGAAUACAUUGAUGGUGAAAUAAUCUCAAUCAAGUCUGACAUAUUCAGCUUAGGUGUUGUGAUCAUAAAGAUAGUGACAGGGCCUAAGGGCUACUUCAGAAGAGCUGAAAUGACUUCCCAGCAAUUAACUAAGAGUGUGCUCGAGAAAUGGAGGAAAAGGCUACAUGCAACAUCAGACAAUGAGUUAGAGUCGUAUUCCAAACAAGUAAAGAGGUGCAUUGAAAUAGCUUUAAGUUGCUUGGAGGCUGAUCGAAGCAACAGGCCAAGUAUAGGGGAUAUUAUCCGUAAGCUGAAUGAGACAGAGGCUAUGCAUCAAAUUGACAGUGGAUUUACAUACGACAGAGGGUUGUCAUUUUCAUCUAUAAAUCAGAGCCAUCGGUUGAAGAUGACAACAAGCGCCAAGUGCAGGGUGCUGACAUCGAGAUCACUACGGAUUGCCAACAAUCAGCCCCAGUACUGGAAAUGGAUUUCUCCUCCAGAUUCGUCUUCCAGGUUUGCCGAAUGUGCGGAGCUCCUGAGUGUGUACUUUCUCGCCGUCAUCGGAGAGAUCCCGCCGAGAGACCUCUCCGCCGGCACAAGCUAUGCAGUUUACCUUGUGUACAAGCUGGCGAGAACCACCUAUGGCCUGAGGGGCUCCGUGCAGACAUCGUCGCUCAGGCUCCAUGGCGAGAGGAUUGUCCCCGGCAGCACCCGCGGGGUCAGCCUCCACCCCGAAGGGCGCGGGUCAGCCAAUGAUAUUACCUACCCCGACGCGAGGGGCGACGGCUGGCUGGAGCUCAGGUUGGCCGAGUUCGAAAACGACGACGAGAUGCUCACGGAGAGGGGGGUGAUCGUGGAUAUCCGUGAGGAGAACGACAGCGUCCAGAAGAAAGGCCUCAUCAUUGGGGGCAUGGAGUUUAGGAGCAACUAG
rnacentral:rRNA from 1 species